GAUAGGUGCGGUGGCACGUGCCUGUAGUCCCAGCUACUCAGGAGGCUGAGGUGGGAGGAUCGCUUGAGCCCAGUAGUUACCGGCUGUAGUGUGCUAUGCUGAUCAGGUGUCCGCACUAAGUUUGGCAACAAUAUGGUGACCUCCCAGGAGCGGGAGACCACCAGGUUGCCUAAGGAGGGGUGAACUGGCCCAGGUCAGAAAUGGAGCAGGUCAAAACUCCUGUGCUGAUCAGUAGUAGGAUCGCACCUGUGAAUAGCCACUGCACUCCAGCCUGGGCAACAUAGCGAGACCUCGUCUCU
rnacentral:SRP_RNA from 1 species